UGCUCCUCAAGCGUUAAAUUCAAAUGGCACAGCAGCUGAGUGUUAUGAUGACAAUGCCGAUUCUCCACUCCUAUCCUGCUACAUAUUUUUUUCUGCAAAGAACAUGAUAAAGAAUUGUAGAGCCGAGAGUGCUGUAAGAGAUAAUUUUUAAUUUCAGCCGUAAGCGCAAUCGCUCCGCUUUAUACCUAACCUAACAACCGCCGAACGCGGUUGCUAGGCAACGCCAGCUACCUGUGGCAGCCAUCUUGCCUUCUUACCUAGCGUUACGUUACGCGUCGCCAUUCACCCUUCGCGCGCAACAUACCGGUGUUUGAUUUUAACCAAGAAGCCCUUGUACUCUCGUGAUUUCAGUCGAUCUAAGUGUCACGACGUAUUUAUUACUUCACGAUCGUCCCUUCGUUUUCCAAUACACACGUUAUUAUUUCAAUGGAAGAGAUGCGGCAAACGGAAGGACGAUUUUAUUUUACAAUUCAUAUUCAAGGUGGAAUUGUAAAGCGGAACAAGCUGAAUAAAGGAUAACGCGUACUUUAUUCGUUAUCGUUGCGUCUAUGAAUGUGUUCCCGUGGUUGCUCGUUUGUUCAGCGAAUGUUGAGCUGAGGUAUGCAAGUACAUCAUCGUGAUUGGAAACCGAACACCAUAAACGAAGUUACAAGAAAUGAUGAAGCAAAGACAGCGGUACAGAGAAGAGUCGUAAGCUUUAACUCAUAGCGAAGGAGGGGUAUUUUGACAAGAGGACUCGGAUCGAAUUCAAAGCAUUCAUUGGGAAACUUAUAGAUUGUUGUGAUACGCGAUGCUUGGUUUCUCGAACGAAACGUGUCCCCUCGAUGCAAGGAUAUUGAAUUCGAGGAAGUGUGGUGCGGCGCAGAGGAUUUAAAUAUUGGACGGUAAGAGGAGGAAGUAGGGCAAGGCCGAUCCGAUCUGUACCGAGACGAUCCGAUUGAAUCCGGAAGGAUUUUUGAACUCACAGCUUGAUCCUCUCGUCCAUGAUCCUCGUGUGGUACGCGUUGCGUGUUUGUGUGAGUGUGAGGCGGUUGCGUGCGAGCGUGCGCUUACGGUGAACAACGGGCGCCGAUCGCGAUGCGGAACGGUCGAUUCACCGUGCGGUGGAUCGAUCGAAAAUAUGGGAAAGAAAAGCGAAAGGUAGGUAGACGAAAACGCGGCGACGCGAUGCGGCGGUGCAGGACUUGGCAACGCGUGACGAGACGAAUCGGGGAGAAGGGAGCUCGACGCGGAGGUGGAGCGCCAGCUGAAAUGGAGCGAUCCCGGUCCGGUUUGUAUUAAGUCUUCGACCGAUCGGAAAGACUUGGACGAACUGUCGGCACGUCACUGGUUACAUAAAUAACGAAAGCCGUCUUCCACUUCAUGCCUCCUUUCAGUAUGAGACACUCUGUUCAGUCUAAUCCGUUUGUUUUAACUACCAGAUAGCUCGGUUCGAUGAGUUUCUCCUCUCCGAUUCUUCCCCCUAUCUCCUCUGCUCCCCUCUCCAGUUUUCUUUAUCCCACUUGUUGCUUGUUCCCCAAGCCAAGAUCGCUCUCUACCGAUUUAAUUUCCCUCGCUCCACCGUUCCUACCGCAACCGAUGAUUCCCCCCACUCACACGUUUCCUCUAUCUGUAUCUGCUUUUCAAACUUCCUAUCUGCUUGUUCGUCACUCACUCCGUCUUCGUCCAGCGAGAUAGCCUUCCAACCCGAUGUAUCUCGCUUUCCUGUUCCUGUCGAUUGUCACCACGAUUCUUUUAAUGAACGAUCAUGACUCACGAUCAUCACCCGCACUCACGUGGCUUAAACGCGUUUAUUAAUUUCAUUAUUUUAAAGUACAUUCGAGCGAUUCUCUUUUUCUUUCUUUCGUUAUCCAGGAAAUUUUAUUUCUUCCAUUUUCGUCAUUAUCAAUGUUUAUUUAUAAUUUGUACUUGUCGUUGUAGGACGAGCACGUCCUAUGAGAGGGUAUAUGAGUGAAUAACAAGUGGAAAUAUGUAAAAGUGAAUUUAAAAGAGAAGAUGUUAAAGAUAGAAAGGUAGUAUACACGUUUCAUAUAAUAAAAAUAGUUUAGUAAGGGUAAUUGUUAAUAGUAAGAUAAAUCAGGAUAAAAAAGUGGUAAAUAAAAAGUAAAAAAAGUAAGUUAAAACGUAAUUAUAUAGUAAAGAAAGGUUUACUUCGUAUUCAUUUAAUGUUUAGUUUUGUUAGUUAAUUUCACAUUUGUCUUACGUUGCCUUAGUUUAGUUCAUUUAUAGUUUAAUAAAAAUAAAUGGUUUUUCAGGAA